rnacentral:rRNA from 1 species
GUUGCAGGGUAUAGACCCGAAACCCGGUGAUCUAGCCAUGGGCAGGUUGAAGGUUGGGUAACACUAACUGGAGGACCGAACCGACUAAUGUUGAAAAAUUAGCGGAUGACCUGUGGCUGGGGGUGAAAGGCCAAUCAAACCGGGAGAUAGCUGGUUCUCCCCGAAAGCUAUUUAGGUAGCGCCUCGUGAACUCAUCUCCGGGGGUAGAGCACUGUUUCGGCUAGGGGGCCAUCCCGGCUUACCAACCCGAUGCAAACUGCGAAUACCGGAGAAUGUUAUCACGGGAGACACACGGCGGGUGCUAACGUCCGUCGUGAAGAGGGAAACAACCCAGACCGCCAGCUAAGGUCCCAAAGUCAUGGUUAAGUGGGAAACGAUGUGGGAAGGCCCAGACAGCCAGGAUGUUGGCUUAGAAGCAGCCAUCAUUUAAAGAAAGCGUAAUAGCUCACUGGUCGAGUCGGCCUGCGCGGAAGAUGUAACGGGGCUAAACCAUGCACCGAAGCUGCGGCAGCGAACGUAUCACUUAAAACGAUUCAGAAGCUUACGAUUGACGGAGCGAAGCGACGUCAAAGCGUAUACAAAGUCGAGUCGGUUUAAGGAUACGUUCGUUGGGUAGGGGAGCGUUCUGUAAGCCUGCGAAGGUGGCCUGUGAGGGCUGCUGGAGGUAUCAGAAGUGCGAAUGCUGACAUAAGUAACGAUAAUGCGGGUGAAAAACCCGCACGCCGGAAGACCAAGGGUUCCUGUCCAACGUUAAUCGGGGCAGGGUGAGUCGACCCCUAAGGCGAGGCCGAAAGGCGUAGUCGAUGGGAAACAGGUUAAUAUUCCUGUACUUGGUGUUACUGCGAAGGGGGGACGGAGAAGGCUAUGUUGGCCGGGCGACGGUUGUCCCGGUUUAAGCGUGUAGGCUGACUUUCCAGGCAAAUCCGGAGAGUCAAGGCUGAGGCGUGACGACGAGGCACCACGGUGCUGAAGCAACAAAUGCCCUGCUUCCAGGAAAAGCCUCUAAGCAUCAGGUAACAUCAAAUCGUACCCCAAACCGACACAGGUGGUCAGGUAGAGAAUACCAAGGCGCUUGAGAGAACUCGGGUGAAGGAACUAGGCAAAAUGGUGCCGUAACUUCGGGAGAAGGCACGCUGACACGUAGGUGAAGUGGUUUACCCAUGGAGCUGAAGUCAGUCGAAGAUACCAGCUGGCUGCAACUGUUUAUUAAAAACACAGCACUGUGCAAACACGAAAGUGGACGUAUACGGUGUGACGCCUGCCCGGUGCCGGAAGGUUAAUUGAUGGGGUCAGCGCAAGCGAAGCUCCUGAUCGAAGCCCCGGUAAACGGCGGCCGUAACUAUAACGGUCCUAAGGUAGCGAAAUUCCUUGUCGGGUAAGUUCCGACCUGCACGAAUGGCGUAAUGAUGGCCAGGCUGUCUCCACCCGAGACUCAGUGAAAUUGAACUCGCUGUGAAGAUGCAGUGUACCCGCGGCAAGACGGAAAGACCCCGUGAACCUUUACUAUAGCUUGACACUGAACAUUGAGCCUUGAUGUGUAGGAUAGGUGGGAGGCUUUGAAGCGUGGACGCCAGUCUGCGUGGAGCCGGCCUUGAAAUACCACCCUUUAAUGUUUGAUGUUCUAACGUGGACCCGUAAUCCGGGUUGCGGACAGUGUCUGGUGGGUAGUUUGACUGGGGCGGUCUCCUCCUAAAGAGUAACGGAGGAGCACGAAGGUUGGCUAAUCCUGGUCGGACAUCAGGAGGUUAGUGCAAUGGCAUAAGCCAGCUUGACUGCGAGCGUGACGGCGCGAGCAGGUGCGAAAGCAGGUCAUAGUGAUCCGGUGGUUCUGAAUGGAAGGGCCAUCGCUCAACGGAUAAAAGGUACUCCGGGGAUAACAGGCUGAUACCGCCCAAGAGUUCAUAUCGACGGCGGUGUUUGGCACCUCGAUGUCGGCUCAUCACAUCCUGGGGCUGAAGUAGGUCCCAAGGGUAUGGCUGUUCGCCAUUUAAAGUGGUACGCGAGCUGGGUUUAGAACGUCGUGAGACAGUUCGGUCCCUAUCUGCCGUGGGCGCUGGAGAACUGAGGGGGGCUGCUCCUAGUACGAGAGGACCGGAGUGGACGCAUCACUGGUGUUCGGGUUGUCAUGCCAAUGGCACUGCCCGGUAGCUAAAUGCGGAAGAGAUAAGUGCUGAAAGCAUCUAAGCACGAAACUUGCCCCG